GGAUUUAUAUUUUAUGGUUUUAGAAGUAUGUGUGUUUUGUAUAUAAUAUAGACUCUAUAGUUGUAAAAUAAUAUCUAGAAACCACUGUUCCACAGAAGUACCAAACUCACACAUGGCCAAGGAUCUUGACUACAGCAGGGUGUAAUAGCACUGGGUUGCUUUCCUAGUACUUUGGAGGUAAAGUACCUCACCUUUGAGGGCAAUCUGGGAUACACAAGACCCUCAUUUCAGAAUAAAAAAAAACAGGAAAGAGGACAGCAAAAGGAGGGGGUUGGCUUCUCUGCAGCAAUGUGGCAUCUAGAUCUUGGGUCUUCUGGCCAAGGUAUGGAAUGUUCUGUUUCAGGUUCUUCUUCAAGAUUCAUGCCGAUGUUCUCGCCAUGGUAAGACCACAGACAGAGUACUGUUUCUCAGGCUUCCCAGACAAACACCCAUGGAGUCCAGGCCAGGAAUGUUUUCUGCAAUCUUGUCUAUCACUUGGACAGCAAACUUCUAGAAUUCAGUUUCCUUACCAAAUUGUUUUCCUUGCCUUGAAUCUGAGCAUCCAGUUCAGUGACCAGUAUGUACCAGGAUAGCUAUUAACUAUUUUAACUAUCUGUUUGUAACCAAAAUAAUUUGUAAACUUAAAUGAAGACAUAAGUGUAUUGCACAGACAUCUCUGGCUUUCAGAUUCUAAAGGGUAAAUAUCUGGUAAGUGACACCUGAAAAUUGACUAUGAGCUACUUAAUAAAUGAAUGAAAAUUUCCCAAGGUAUGUUGAUACUUAUGGAAUUCAGUGGCCUCAUUCUUAGAAACAGGGUGUAUUGGAUGACCCAUCAUUGAAAACUGAAGUAUGCAAUUGAUAUUCAAGUGGGUCAGAACAAAGAGUGUGAAGCUGAAACACAAAAGCAAAAUGGCCCCUGUUUGCAAUCAUGGUGUAAAGAAUUCAUGAGUAUAGAGGGCAUUUUUGUUUUACUUCUUCUGUAAGUUUUAACAUUUUCAAAAUAAACGAGAAAAGAGAACAUCUGAUUUGAUCUUCACAGAGACACAGGGUUAUCCAGUGUCGAGCAAAACAGUCGAAAACAGUGGUUCUUAACCUUCCUGUUAAACACCCCAGGGUCACUUACCAGAUAUUUACAUUAUGAUUCAUAACAGUAGCAAAAUUACAGUUAUGAAGAAGUAAUGAAAAUAACCUUAUGGUUGGGGGUCACCACAAUAUGAGGAACUGUGUUAAAGGGUAACAACAUUAGGGAAGGUUGAGAGCCACUGAUCUAAAAGAAGAGAAAGAUUCAUUAGGCUGCAUGCUAGACCUUUCUACCAACCCACCUGGCUUGGCAUUUACCCCCAUAUCCUAUCCAGUUAACAGGCUCAUCCCUUCAGUGUUUCCUAGGCCUUGAGACCUCUUGUCAGCACCUGCAGCUCCCUCCCUCCCUCCCUCCCUUCCUCCCAGUUUCCCUUUCUUCCCUUCUUUUGCCAGAAAUCCCACCCUGCAUCCCCCUGUGCUGCUUCACAAGUUCCUCUAGGGAUUGCUUCCAUCAGGGGUCCCAGGUGACUUGUUUUGCUCAACCUUUGCCCCUGGCCUAUAUCUUUGACUCCCCAGGUGUGUCUGCUCUCAGCUUCAAGCUUCCCUCCCCCAUCUAAUUAAACCCAAGUGGUGCCACCUGGCCUUUUCCUUCCUUGUUGGGCCUCUCAGUCUGGUCUCUUUCCCCAGGUUCCUUCUAUCUCUGCCCUUGCCUGCCCUCCCUUUUCUGAGGGUGCCUGUGGGUCUCCAGGUGUCCAGUCUUCAGCUGUCACUGGAGUGGGUGAUGGCCUUUGAAGCAAGCAGGAAGGCCUGCUCCUCCAGGCGCUGGUCUCUUCACAGAUACCCUGACAGAUAGGUGGAUCUUCCUUGCCCCUCACAGCCUGAAUACCAAAUUGGUGGCUCUUGCCACCACACUCAUUCCCACCCUUGCUUUGACUCUUCAUAGUCUCACUUGAGAGUUAAUGCCAAAACAUAACCCUGUCAUUUCUCCUUAACCCAGGCCCUGCCAAACAACGCAGACUGUUAACUAUGGAGGGUGUGAUUUUUGUUCUCUGUUCAAUCAAGUAGAAAGGAAACAAAAACAGAAACAAAACAAAACAAAACAAAAGCCUGUAGGGAUUGGCUCUUGCCUGGUUUUCCCAGAUAGAAAUCAUGGCUUGCCCACUGAACAUUGAACAGGAAAAUAGUGAUUCUAGUCUCAAAUAUAUUAAGAAGGAAUCUAUCAGACACAGGGAAAUUGUCCCGUCCAUCUAAUUUUGUUCUGUAACAUACUAUAGUUAUCCCUUAAUGUCUCUAGGAAAUCAAUGCCAUAUUUCCCUUGUGUCCCAAAAUAUGCAAUGCUUAUGUCCCUGAUAUCCAACACUAUAGCAAUUUGCAUACACAGUCUGCAGACAUUGCCCAUUCAAAUCACCUCAGAUCCUUGCCAUGUCAGCUGCAACUGUUGUAUAUAUGGUUGCUGUCCUACAUUAUGAAGGGAAUAAUGAUGAGAGGGAAAAAAAGAACAUCUAGACGUGCAGUACAGAUAAAGAAAAUUUUCAAUCCAAUGUUGGUUGACUUCAUGAUGCAGAAGUGGCAUGGGAGGAACUGUGUCUUCAGCUGAUUACAGAACAUGGUCCCUCCUCCAGGUGGCCAAUGUGCAAAGGGCAGGCCACUAAGUGGCAUCCCCACUAACCUCCUUGUCUUAGUCAGGGUUUGUAUAUAUGGUUACAUCAUGACCAAGAAGCAAGUCAGGGAGGAAAGGGUUUAUUCAGCUUACACUUUCAUAUUGCUGUUCAUCACCAAAGGAAGUCAGGACAGGAACUCACAUAGGGCAGGAACUUGGAGGUGGGAGCUGAUACAGAGGCUAUGGAGGAGUGCUGCUUGCUGGAUUGCUUCCCCUGGCUUGCUCAGCUUGCUUUCUUACAGAACCAGGACUACUGCCCAGGGAUGGCACCACCUACAAUGGCCUGGGCCCUUCCUCCUUGAUCACUAAUUGAGAAAAUGUUUUACAGCUGGAUCUCAUGGAGGCAUUUCCUCAAGGGAGGCUCCUUUCUCUGUGAUAAUUCCAGCUUGUGUUAGAUUGACACACAAAACCAGCCAGCACACUCACUCCUCUUUUAAUCUUGCAUGUUCUCCAUAAUUUUCCAGAGUUUGAGAGGCAGAGAGGACUACAUACAUAAGUUUGAUUCAAUCACUAAACAAUUUUUUGCAUCUGUUUCCUGAUUUGAUAGAAAGGGAAAGUCAGCUGGACUCUCCCAUAGCCUUAAAACACAUUACAAAAUACAGUGGUCUAGGGUUUUAUAGUAUUCAUUUGCAUUUUUUUAAAAAGUACUUUUCAGGGACUGGGGAUGUAACUCACUUGGCAGUGUUUGCCUAGGAUGCAAGAAUUCCUGGGUUCAACACCCAGCAUUGCAUAUACCCAAUGUAGUGGUGAUCAGCAGCCCAUGAGAGCAGAGGCAAAAGAAUCAGAGGUCACAGGUCAUUCUCAACUACUUAACAAGAGAGAAGCCAUUCCAGGGCCAUGAUACCCUGCCUCAAAAUAAAAUAAAUCAAAACCAUCAAUCAUAAAAACUGGUUUUUCCAUGUUUCCCAAUUCUAGUAGUUUCGGUUUUGAGCUGAGAAAACUGAUCUGAACCCAAGACCUCCACUGAUUAUCAACUGCCAUGCGGCAGCACCCAGAGUUUUCCUCCUUUAUCUCUCUAAGGAGCCUUGUGCAGACACCCCAGGACACCCUACCCACUGUCCACCUUGUGCACUGCAGAGGCACAAUGGGUUUCAUCACCUCCCUCUGUCACUUCUAGAUGCUCUUCAGGAACGCCACAGGACUGUUGACUGCUUUUAGUGAAGCAACAAGGAACCAAUGAAGAAAAGAAGCUUAAUGGAGUCAAACUCCACAGGGAUGGCAGAAGGAAGAGCUGGCUCUGUGUUAUGCAAGAACCAAUCCAGAAGACUUCUAGAGAAUUCUGUCCUAGAGAUGAGUGGGCACAAAUCCAUGUUGGCUAUAUUAUUCACAGCUUUCCACAAAUCAUCUCAGUAUCCCAGAAACAACUCCUACCUACCAGCAAGUGCUAUUUUAAAAAUGCAUUUCGGAAUAUUUGGCACAAAAACUGUAGCCUCCCUGCUUUUGUGAGGUAUUGUUUGCCCUGCCUUAAAAGCCACAGUAAAUCUCAAAUGUACACACACAUACAUUCUCUCUCUCUCCCUCUCUCUCUCUCUCUCUCUCUCUCUCUCUCUCUCUCUCUCUCUCUCUUUCUCUCUCUCUCUCUCUCUCCUCCUUCCUUCUCCCUCCCUUUUCUCUCCUCCCCCUCUGCCUCCCUUCCUUCUCCUCCCUCCCUCUCCCUCCCUUUUCUCUCCUCCCCCUCUGCCUCCCUUCCUUCUCCUCCCUCCCUCUCCCUCCCUCUUUCUCUCCUCCCCCUCUGCCUCCCUCCCUUCCUCUCUCCACAUUUUGUGUGUGUCUGUGUGUGUGUGUGUGACACAAUGUAGUAUGGUGGUCAGAGAGCCAUUUGUGGAAAGCAGUUAUCACCUUUGACCCUGUAGUUCCCAGGGACCAAGAUUGGGUCCUCAGGCUAGGCAGCAAGUGCCUCUACCAGCUGAGCCAUCUUGCUGGCCCAUUUUUCCUCUCUACUGGUGGGUUGUGUACACUGGCACCAUGAGAAAUUGGUGCCAUUGACUGUCUGUGCUAGUCUUCCUGCUAUAAUGCACAAAGCAAACAGGUCCUGAAAACACAGUCAUCUCCCAGAACUUUCUCACGGGCAUCCUGACAGUUGUAUCCAUGGGACAUCAGUUCACUUCUAUUCUCCCUUUUUAUUUUCUUGUUGACCUUGGCUUUUCUGAAGCACCUCAAUGACCUGUUCUAACUUCAGCAUUUGAAGCUUUUUUUUUUUUAAUUUUGCUGACAUCAGUAUUCUCUCUGCUCUGAACCACUGACCUAGCUUCCCUCUCUAGGGCAUCCAUGAAUCUCUUUAUUUGCUUCUAUUUUCUCUUUCCACUGGUUAUCUCACUGGAAAAGGUAUCAGAGUGUAGUUAACGUUGCUCAACACCUAGUCUCCUCAAUAUGCCACCUGCUAAAUUCAGUUACAUUAAGGUUUAAUUGCAUCUCAAUGGAUUAUGGCUGUAUACAUAACUGUGUUGGUCAUGUAAUGUGUCUUCAGUAAGGUGAAAACAUGCCACAUUAUCUAGCAACAAAUUGGGACAAGGGAAAGGAUGUCAUCUCUUCAGCUAAAAUCAUACUAUUUAUUAAUUCAUUCAAUAUUUAUUGAACUCCUAGUAUAUAAUAGGCAUUUACUGAGCUCUCAUGUAUUGAAUGUAAGUUGGUGAAUAAAAUAUACCUAGACCCUGUCUUUGAAAAGUAGGAAGUCUGUCGUGACAAAGACAGUAGAUAGGAUCCACAACCAUAUGUAUGGAUAUAGAGUAAUGUUGUUGAGGAUUACCCAGAAAAGCAACUUGGGGGAGGUCAGUAGGGUUGCCAGAUUAAGCCAGUGAAAACACUUAGGCUCUGUUAAAUGGGAACUACAGAUGAGCAAUACAUGUUUUUUAUAUAAACAUGGUCCAAGCACUUCCUGGUAUGUGGAUAUAUAUAAAAUGUAUUCAUUGUUUUUCUGAAAUUAAAAUGUAACUGAGUCCUUUAUUUUAUCUAGCUAUCUAAUAGUUCAGGGCAGGUUUCUCUGGAAGGUAACAUUUAAACUGAGAAAUGAAAGAGUAGUGACCCACAAGGACAGCAUUGAAUGGCAAAGAUGGCCACCUUGUAAAGGAGGGAGGGCUCUGAUUGGUCUGGAGGAUCAGGCAGAGAGAAUAGAAUAUACAAGGCUCUCUAAAUCAUGACAAGGGGAGAGUGGUUAUUUGACAUAUAGAUUCUCAUUGACUGAGGAUAGAAUUCAGUCCUGAAACCCUCUAGUACCUUGGAAAUAUGACUUAUCACCAGAGAAUAGAUCAGAAAUUAUUACACAUACACAGUAGAACAUUAGUUAUUCUAAAGAAAAGAGCUAUCAAGUAAUGAAGAGGCGUUCAGGGAAUCUUGAGUGCUGAUUGUCAGCAGAAGCCAGUCUGCAAAGGCUAGUACUGUAUGACUCCACUCCUUCACAUUCAGGAAGAGGCAAACUAUAGAGUCAGUUUAAAAAAAAAAAAAGCAAAAGUGGUUGCCACCGGGUUGAGAAAGAAGGAAAAGAGAGGGUUGUGGGGCACAAGGGCCAUUUAGGACAGUGAAACUCUUCUACACAGAAUCUAAUGUUAGGUUAUGUGUUCAACACUUGUCAAAACCCACAGACAUGCGGACCUGAGAGAGGGAUUCCUAAUAUAUACUCUUGACUCCAGUAAAUGAUGUGUUGUUAUAGAUUCCAGUUAAAAGAAAUGUGCCACACUCAAGACGACAACAGUAAGGGACAGCUCAGGGAAGGACAGAGAAAGAAUGACUCUGGGAAGCCUAUUUGUGUGUGUGUGUGUGUGUGUGUGUGUGUGUGUGUGUGUGUGUGUGACACACUGCACACAUGGUAGUCAGAAGACAACUUUAGGAAUCAGUUAUGUCUUUCCACCUUUACAUGUCUCCAGGGAUAGAAGUAGGCAUGUCAGGCUUACUCAGUUAACAAGCAUCUUUAAAAGCUUAACCAUCUCACAAGCCCCUGACUCUUUUAAAACAUAAUUUGUUUUUAAACUGAUGAAACUGUAUAUAUUCAUUAUGUAAUACAUAUCAUAUGUGUUAUAUAUAUAUAUACACACAUAUAUAUGCAUAUAUAUACACAUAUACAUAUAUAUAUGUUAAACAUAAUAUAUAUUGUACAUAAUAGACCUAGCAAAGACAGCCAGGCCUCAGGCUCAUUCUUUCAUGAGUCUGCCUUAGCUUUCACCUGUGUCUGCUUCAGCGAAACAUUCCUUCAUGUAUCUGCUCAAGCAAUAUGUCCUUUCAUUUGUGUCCACUUCAGAAAAACACCCCUUCACAUGUUUGCCCGAGCAAAACACCAUCCAGCACAAUUGACUUUCUAAAGAACCUGUAAGUUUCCAUUUCAUUGAUAUGUUUGUGUUAUCAUAAAAUCAAAAGAAAAAGAAAAAAAAGAUACAAAAUUGAACCACUGUAAUUUGGUAAGGUAUCUAUAUACUGCAAAACAUUUGAAACAUAAUAAGAAGGCAAGCGGCUCAUAGAAGCCAGAUCUGGUGGAUCACAUCUGUAGUCUUAAUACUUGGGAUGCUGAGGCAGGAGGAUCACUGUGAGUUAAGGCCAAUCUGGACCACAUAGUGAGACCUAGCCUCAAGAUACAAAAAAAAAGGGAGAUAAUAUUUUAAUGCUAAAAAUAUCAUGUUUCUAGUCAUACUGUAGAAAAGAGAUUGGAGAGGAAGUGGGGAGAGACAAGAUGGGAACUGCAGGGAGGGAUACAGCUAUCAGCAUGAGGUACAGGUGGUGUCUGUAAUUGAGAUGGACUUUACAGAUAGGAGUGUCUAUCCUCACUCGCUUGCAUCUUACAGAUGGAAAACCAUAAGGGAGAAAGACCAACACCCAGAAUGGCUUGUUUUCUUUUAGUCAGAAUCACAGCUGGUGAGAAGAGCCGUUCCUGAUGUGAGGAGGAAAAGAGCAGGAAGGAGAUUGAGGAGCACAGUCAACAAGAGUUCCAGAUCAGAAGGGCUGAGAGUACACCAAGCAUGAGGCCACCACAAACACUAGGACGGGCAGAGAGCUUAACCUCGAUGCUGUGUAACUGAUCCAUUCCUGAUGGAACUGUCAGCCUUGAGCCCAAUAAGGAUUGUCUUCCCAUCUUGCUUGGACCUCGAUAAUUUGUGCUGACUGAGGAUUGGCAUUUGGUCUUGAAACCGGUUCAAGGCUGCAUAUUUUCUUAGAUCAACCGAUGUUAAGUCUUCUGCAUGUCAACAUAUACCGGACUUCUAAAUAAGAUAUGCAUUUGAUGCAUUUGUUUAAGGACAUGUGGGAUAACCAGGGGCCUUUUGCCAAGUGUUAUGAACUCCUGAGGUUAUGGGCAACAAACAGAUUAUACAUGAGGGACUGUGACUCCCUGUUGACCUAGAUGCCUGACCAAAAGUCCAAAAUGCAGCCUUUCCUCAAGUUAGUGGGCAGUGUAAUGAGAUUUGGUAUCAAGAGACCAGGGUUCAAAGCCAGGACUGUUCACUGACUCCUUUCGUGUUUCCAAAUGAUCUACUGGACUCUCUCCACCUCAUUUCCUCCCUCAUUAUGGCAUUGUUCUAUAGUACUUACUAGUAGCCCACACUUAGGGGGAAGGAUUUCUUGGGAUUUCAGAGAAGCUGAUUCUGGCUGCCAACCCUAGACAGAACUGUGACUUAGAAAAACUUCAACACCUUCCACCCAUCUCUACUCUUCCUGUAAGUCUCCAUCCUGAAUUAACCAUGUGAGCCAAGCUAGUUCAAUGAGUUAACCUUAAGUUUGCUUCGUAGUACUGGAAUAAAACGUUUUUUUUUCUCUUCUUCUAGGCCACUGGUAGAGGUAGCCAUAUUUCUAUUCAUGAGGAUAGCCAGGUUGAAGGAAAUUAUCACACCCUAGGAGAACAGAGGCAGAAAUCUUUGAAUAAACAUAGAUCAUUCUUGGAGAACACCAUGAAGCCUUGGAACAAACUGUGUUCGAGGCUGGCUUUGAACUACUUCAGUCAUGGGAACAAUAAAUCCAUUUCUUAUUUAAACACUUUGAGCCAGUUGUUUUACUCUUUUUCUUCCAUUGUCUAGCUUCUUCUGGAUUUAGAGGUCAAACAUUUUGACUCCUGAGGGAAAACCCACCUCAUCCUAGACAACCUCAUAAACCCUAGAGAAAACUCAUAUGUGAUAUCAGAGAGUGGGUGACAUACAGUGUCUGUCAGUGUUCACCACUACUGCAUAAGGGAUGUAGCUAAUAGACAGGAGAAAUGGAAAUUAAAUUGGAAUUCUAGAAUGUUAUUGAACAAGUCUAAGAUCAGAACCAUGGGGUUAUUUAUGAGCUGUAUGUUCAAUAGCAUUUAGAUAAGUUUUUCUGAAUUACUUUAUUCUUUUUAUGUGGAUGUGUGGAUGUGAGUGUGGGUGCUCAUGGAUCCACAGAGGGCUGUGGAUCCCUUGGAGCUAGAGUUAUAGGCAGUUGUGGAACAUGCAAUGUUAGUGCUAGGAACUCUGGUCCUCUAAAAGAUCUGCAUGGACUCUUAACCACUUAGCCUCCUCAUUUAAGUAUCUUUAAGUUUUCAGGUUUUAUUCCUGAAUCCAAAUAGAAUCUAAGUACAAAUGAAGCCCGUAAGCUGGAGAGCUCUGACCUGGGGAGAUGGGUGCUGUAUCUGUCAGAAUCAGCAAGAUUUUGCUUCAAAAAUAACUGUCUUCUAAAUCUCAGUAGCUUGAAAUAGUCUUAUUUCUCAUGUUGCAUAUGCACUGCAGCGUGGCUUGGAUGCUCUUCUCUGAGACAUCUCUAGUGCCUUAGGGAGUAGAGCUGAUACUCUUUAGAAUCUUGUUGGUAUAAAGAAAGAUCUCUGAGGAGACCUAGUUAAAUCCUCUGCUGAGAAGUAGCAAAUUAUCUCUGACCACAAAUUACUGACUAGUACUAAUAAAACAUCUCUAUACCAAAGGAAGAGGGUUGGGAAAUGCAACUUUACCACUUACUUGCCUGAAAGGAGAAGGCUAGAAACACUUGAUGAAGACCUAAAGACUUUUACUUGGGCUUUGGCACUACUGUUUGGCCUUGCCAAGAUUGUUUUGAUUGACUCAUAAUUCAUGAACAUCAAAAGAUUCUGUUAGGUUGCAGACCAAUAAUAAAGACCUAGGAGGCCUUGUUAGAUGGCAUUCAUAUUUAUGUUCUGACUCAUUAUUACACAUAUAAUAAUAUAAUUUUCCAAAUUCUUGAAGCAUAAGAGUAUGAUUGAUUACAUCAUCUGGCCCUUUGCCUGUCUAAAACUCUGCUAUCAAAUUUUCUUUUUAUCACCACCCCUCUUCUAAACAGAAAAAAAUUUCUCUGAAGUACAAUUAUGUUUGCUUGAACAAUUGUCUUUGAAUGAUUUUGCACACAUUCCAAAAAGAGGAAUCGUGGAAGAUUACAUGUUCUCACAUAAGAUUACUGGUGACUGAGCAUGAUAAACAGUCACUGAUGUCAUGUGAUCUGAAUUUGGUAUGUAAUUCAGAAGGACUUUAAAGAAUGAUAUCAGUAGAAAGCAAGCGACACCAUGUAAAGAAAGGCAAUGGUGCCACAACCUCCCGUCAGAAUGGCUCACAGGGAGGGGUUCCACUCCUUCUCCCACACUUGUGUUUGUCAAGGUGGAGGCUGAGUUUCAGUUAAGGCAGAAGGACUCUCCUGAGAGGAAAUUGAGCACAGAUGGGGGCCAUUCGGAUGCUCACUGGCUUCUUCCCGGGAAGGUAUGUUUAUGGAAGUUAUAUAUGAUCACUCUCUACUUUAUGUUUUAAGUCAGGGUCUCCCACUGAACCUAGAGUGUCUGGGUAAUGAGUUCCAGGGUCUGGCCAGUCCCCACAUCCCCAGUGCUUCAAUCACAAACUUACAAUUGCAUUAGCAGUUGUUUCUAGGGAGAAUCAAAAGUCCUGAUGGAAGGAAUAAAUAUGAAUCUUAUAAAUGAAAAAAAAACAAAAAACAAAAAACAACAAAUGAAACAAAACAAAACAAAACAAAACAAAACAAAACAAAACAAAACAAAACAAAACAAAAGCAAAACAAGGUCUCACUAUUAUGCCUGACUCUUUACUUGGGUGUUGGGAAUCUGAAAUCAGGACCCUGUGUUUCCAAAACAGGCACUUUACUGACUGAGGCAUUUCUGUAAUCCCUCUUUUGCUACAUUUUAAUUAAGGAAUUAGCUUUCUUACUGGCCAGUUUUAAGAGUGUUUUAUAUAAUGGGGGGCGAGGGGAAUAUAUCUUUAUUUACAAAGUGUAUCUUUUGUAAACUUAUUUCUAAUCUUAUUCUUUUUAUUUAUUCUUUGAGAAUUUCAAUGCAUGUGUAGUGAAAUGUGAUCAUAUCCACUCCACACUUUCCUCUCUAAUUCUCCCCAAAUCCUCCCAACUUCAUGUCUUUAUUCUUUUUGUUUGUUGUUUUGAAAACACACAUUAUUCUGUUUAUAGUGGCUUUUGUGAACCAUAAAGUUGUAAUUUUAAUGAAAUUUAUCAUAUCAGUUAUUUCUCUCAUAGACAGCAUCUUUACUGUGAUUUUUAAGUUAUCACCAUAGCUGUAACAUCUAAUUUUUCCUCUUUUGUAUUUAGUAAAAGUAAUUUAAUAAUUUUGUGUUGCGAAUUUUAGUUUUUUCAUUGUGUUAAUUUUUUUGUGAAAAGUCUAGGUCUCAUCUAAGUAGAUCUUUGAACACAUGUGGAUGUCUAGUAAUUUCAGCAAUUUUUCCAAGACUUACCUUUGGCCCAUUGUCUGAGCAGAUAUACCGUGCCCUUCUAGUAGACAAUCAAUGUGUUUGAUAAGAUUGAAUCUAUGCAACUGUCUUUACAUAUUGGUCAAACUACAUUCAGAGUCCAUUAAGCUCAGAACUACAUCCAAUGCCCCCCAUAAUAACCCCACUGUCUAAAUCAGUGUACGGAACUUCAGUGAUUUAAUGUUAACACAUUAGGAUUCUAACACCUCCACUAAAGAAUUGCCAAACAUGAGACACCCAAAGUACCAGAUCACAGGAUCCUUCCUGUCUGAAGUUCAGAUGCCGCUCAUAACAAUCUUUUGUAUCAAGGAUGCUCUCUCUAAGGCAGCUGUGAUGGCUACAUCAGAUGAAAUCAGCUCUGUCUGAAACUCAGGUUCAUUACAACUUCAAAAUGAGAAGCGAGGGAAGGCAGUGUAGAUAUUAAACAAGUUCAACGCAGUUCGGCUACUUGCAGAUUUUGCCGCUGAGUUUGACUCUCACUUGGGAAGUAUUUUACUGGCGGAAGGCAUGCUGAUUGCAGAUUAGACUUGGCUCCUUUCGGUGACAAACCUGGAGGAAAAUUACCAGCUUAUAAUAUUGAAUUUUACCUACAUAAUUCAACAACCUCUUUGAGCUUGCCUGAUGUUUUUCAUGCUUCUUAAUUUCAUGGAGCCAGGAUUGGGGCUGAAGUAGGUGAUGUUUCUGGAAGAAACAGACCACUUAUUGGUCCCAGGUGGCACCAGAGCUUUUGAUCCUAAUACAACCAUUUUUAAGCAGUGCCCGGGACUUGUAAAAUUGGUCAUUUUAUUAGAGAAAUACAUUGGACUUGCAGUCAGAAAAUGCCCUCAUUGGGAGCUGCCACCUGAUUGGCUGAUGAUGCAGUCAAUGUUUGCAGUCUCUUUCUAGCCAAAUAUUAGAUUUUAGAAAUAUCUCUGAGCAUGCAUUUUAGGGAGAGAAGGUCACUCUUUCCAUAUGGUGAGAUACAUCCUAGCACAUUUGGAAGGGAAGAUUAUUCAAGCAAGCCGUGGUUUGCAUAAAGUAACAUUAAAACAGCAAUUUUCUAGUUCAUAGAUUACAAUGAACAACCCUCCCAAUGCCUAUGAUAACUUUUAAAUCACUGUCCUGUUUGAGUCACACAACAACCAGACAUGUCAGGGAAACUUAGAAUCAUCAGGCCUGCCUUUUGGUCAUAUGAGACAAGGAUCAUGAAUAGAUAUGACCAGUCUCCAAUGGCUAGAAACAGAGACACUACAGCUGGUGACCCUGCUUUCCAGUGAUCUUUCCAGAUAAUUUAUUCUGAGCUUUCCCCAUGCCAACAAUCUGAACCUCCAGAAGUCUCCAGAGAAGAGUCCCCUGGUCUCAUGGUUUAAUUCGUCUUUUUAGAGACAGUUAAGAGACAAAGGUAUUGAAUCUGGAUACAGGCAAGAAAGAGGCAAAUGGGAAGUGAAAUCUAUUUUUGCUUCUUCAUUGCUUUGCUAGCUGAUGAGAACGUGGUGAGACUUAAGGACCACCAGUAACAAACACAGGCACUCUUCUGUUAUUUUGCUUAUAAAGAGCCAACCUUUUUAGUGGCAAGUCCAGUCGGUCACCAUCUUUUCCAGUGGAAAUAGUUCUGUUAAGAGUCAUCCUACCCUAUGAAUGUACCUUUAUGGAGCAGACCAGAGGGAAAAGUAAUUGAAUUUAAUAAAAGCUGUAACCAAUAUAAAGCCACAGGGAAAUCCAUUUCACUUCAAAGCCAAGAUGCAUGGUUCCUAAAUAGAAUUAAUUGCCUGGCUGUUUCUUCCAUCAAAUCUCAAUCCAACAGCAAAGAAUUAAUUUCCUUGGCAUUUCUUAUUUCAUAGUCACAUGAAUUCUCUAUCGAUGGUUAUGGCUGGAUUGAUAAAAAUCAUUCUCAAAAAUGACAAUCUUCAAAUUGAUCAGUAACCACAGCUGGGAAGUCUUACAUUACUGUGCUUAGCAGAGGUAGAAGCUGUUAUAGGCAAUCUUAAUGAAUUUGUCAAAGGUGAGACUCAUAAGGCCAGUACUUUAUGCCCCUUAACUACCACCUCAUCCCCCUUUUAAAAGUGUCUUCCCAAAGAAAACAAAAAAAGGGAAGAUAACAACAAGAGGGAAGGUUCGCCUCCUCUGGAUCCCCUGAAGAGAUACUUUGAUGUCCUUGCUGGCUCAUACCAAGGUUAGUUAAAUGCAUGUUUAAGCUUCCAACUUGUUGUCUGAUUCUAUAUUGGGGGACCACUCCAGUAUAGCAAGAUAGAGAAACUAUGAGGUCUGAUUUUUUGGUCUCCAAAACUGAUAUUUUGAACAGUUAGCUGCCAAGGUAACAUAUUGAAGGAGGGGCUUUGGGGAAAUGAGGGGGGCAGAGCCUUCAUGAAUAGCAGUUGUAUCUCAGAAAGAGGUCUUAUGAACUUCCCUGUCCCUCCACUAUGUGAAGACACAGGAAGAUGGUAUCACUUGCAAGUCGGAAGUGCACCCAUGCUGUACACUGUGCCUUGACCUUGAUCUCAAGUUUCACUCAGCCUCCGUAACUGUAAGAAGCACAUUUCUCUAAUUUAGAAGUCAUCCAGUUAAUGGUAUUUUGUUUUUCCCACCCAAAUGAGACUGAGACACAUGACUACACAAGGCUUGCUGAAGGGACUUCUAGUCUCUAUAUGCCAAACCAUUCCUCACUGGGCCCUUUCAUCAGGGUAUUGUGUAAGGAAAGGCCUCUUCCUCUAAAGACUGCUAUCCCGUGUUUUCCUUCCAUAAAACUUCAAAUGAAGAAGAGGUAGGAUAAAUAGGAUAUGUGUGUGUGUGUGUGUGUGUGUGUGUGUGUGUGUGUGUGUGUGUGUGUG